GAUGAACGCUGGCGGCGUGCCUAAUACAUGCAAGUCGAGCGAACAGACGAGGAGCUUGCUCCUCUGACGUUAGCGGCGGACGGGUGAGUAACACGUGGAUAACCUACCUAUAUGACUGGGAUAACUUCGGGAAACCGGAGCUAAUACCGGAUAACAUGUUGAACCGCAUGGUUCAACAGUGAAAGACGGUCUUGCUGUCGCUUAUAGAUGGAUCCGCGCCGCAUUAGCUAGUUGGUAAGGUAACGGCUUACCAAGGCAACGAUGCGUAGCCGACCUGAGAGGGUGAUCGGCCACACUGGAACUGAGACACGGUCCAGACUCCUACGGGAGGCAGCAGUAGGGAAUCUUCCGCAAUGGGCGAAAGCCUGACGGAGCAACGCCGCGUGAGUGAAGAAGGUCUUCGGAUCGUAAAACUCUGUUAUUAGGGAAGAACAAAUGUGUAAGUAACUAUGCACGUCUUGACGGUACCUAAUCAGAAAGCCACGGCUAACUACGUG
rnacentral:rRNA from 1 species